UAGGGAAUCUUCCGCAAUGGACGAAAGUCUGACGGAGCAACGCCGCGUGAGUGAAGAAGGAUUUCGGUUCGUAAAACUCUGUUGUUAGGGAAGAAAAAAUGUAUAGUAACUAUAUACAAAAGAGACGGUACCUAACAAGAAAGCCACGGCUAACUACGUGCCAGCAGCCGCGGUAAUACGUAGGUGGCAAGCGUUGUCCGGAAUUAUUGGGCGUAAAGCGCGCGCAGGUGGUUUAGAAAGUCUGAUGUGAAAGCCCACGGCUCAACCGUGGAGGGUCAUUGGAAACUAAUAAACUUGAGUGCAGGAGAGAAAAGUGGAAUUCCUAGUGUAGCGGUGAAAUGCGUAGAGAUUAGGAGGAACACCGGUGGCGAAAGCGGCUUUUUGGCCUGCAACUGACACUGAGGCGCGAAAGCGUGGGGAGCAAACAGG
rnacentral:rRNA from 1 species